rnacentral:rRNA from 1 species
GGUUAAGCGACUAAGCGUACACGGUGGAUGCCCUGGCAGUCAGAGGCGAUGAAGGACGUGCUAAUCUGCGAUAAGCGUCGGUAAGGUGAUAUGAACCGUUAUAACCGGCGAUUUCCGAAUGGGGAAACCCAGUGUGAUUCGUCACACUAUCAUUAACUGAAUCCAUAGGUUAAUGAGGCGAACCGGGGGAACUGAAACAUCUAAGUACCCCGAGGAAAAGAAAUCAACCGAGAUUCCCCCAGUAGCGGCGAGCGAACGGGGAGCAGCCCAGAGCCUGAAUCAGUGUGUGUGUUAGUGGAAGCGUCUGGAAAGGCGCGCGAUACAGGGUGACAGCCCCGUACACAAAAAUGCACAUGCUGUGAGCUCGAUGAGUAGGGCGGGACACGUGGUAUCCUGUCUGAAUAUGGGGGGACCAUCCUCCAAGGCUAAAUACUCCUGACUGACCGAUAGUGAACCAGUACCGUGAGGGAAAGGCGAAAAGAACCCCGGCGAGGGGAGUGAAAAAGAACCUGAAACCGUGUACGUACAAGCAGUGGGAGCCUCUUUAUGGGGUGACUGCGUACCUUUUGUAUAAUGGGUCAGCGACUUAUAUUCUGUAGCAAGGUUAACCGAAUAGGGGAGCCGAAGGGAAACCGAGUCUUAACUGGGCGUUAAGUUGCAGGGUAUAGACCCGAAACCCGGUGAUCUAGCCAUGGGCAGGUUGAAGGUUGGGUAACACUAACUGGAGGACCGAACCGACUAAUGUUGAAAAAUUAGCGGAUGACUUGUGGCUGGGGGUGAAAGGCCAAUCAAACCGGGAGAUAGCUGGUUCUCCCCGAAAGCUAUUUAGGUAGCGCCUCGUGAAUUCAUCUCCGGGGGUAGAGCACUGUUUCGGCAAGGGGGUCAUCCCGACUUACCAACCCGAUGCAAACUGCGAAUACCGGAGAAUGUUAUCACGGGAGACACACGGCGGGUGCUAACGUCCGUCGUGAAGAGGGAAACAACCCAGACCGCCAGCUAAGGUCCCAAAGUCAUGGUUAAGUGGGAAACGAUGUGGGAAGGCCCAGACAGCCAGGAUGUUGGCUUAGAAGCAGCCAUCAUUUAAAGAAAGCGUAAUAGCUCACUGGUCGAGUCGGCCUGCGCGGAAGAUGUAACGGGGCUAAACCAUGCACCGAAGCUGCGGCAGCGACGCUUAUGCGUUGUUGGGUAGGGGAGCGUUCUGUAAGCCUGCGAAGGUGUACUGUGAGGUAUGCUGGAGGUAUCAGAAGUGCGAAUGCUGACAUAAGUAACGAUAAAGCGGGUGAAAAGCCCGCUCGCCGGAAGACCAAGGGUUCCUGUCCAACGUUAAUCGGGGCAGGGUGAGUCGACCCCUAAGGCGAGGCCGAAAGGCGUAGUCGAUGGGAAACAGGUUAAUAUUCCUGUACUUGGUGUUACUGCGAAGGGGGGACGGAGAAGGCUAUGUUGGCCGGGCGACGGUUGUCCCGGUUUAAGCGUGUAGGCUGGUUUUCCAGGCAAAUCCGGAAAAUCAAGGCUGAGGCGUGAUGACGAGGCACUACGGUGCUGAAGCAACAAAUGCCCUGCUUCCAGGAAAAGCCUCUAAGCAUCAGGUAACAUCAAAUCGUACCCCAAACCGACACAGGUGGUCAGGUAGAGAAUACCAAGGCGCUUGAGAGAACUCGGGUGAAGGAACUAGGCAAAAUGGUGCCGUAACUUCGGGAGAAGGCACGCUGAUA